ensembl:lncRNA
GAGCCCCAGCAUGGUGUGAUGUGGAGGUGCGGUACACGACAUCUGAGCGCUCCCGGUGCUCUGCCAGCUACAGCCAUCUGGAAGUGUCAAUCGGUGCUUGAUGUGUUAAACUGAAAAUUCUGAACAAAAUUCAGCAAGGAAAAUAAAUACUAUUUGGGUUAGUAAGACCUUCCCAACAGAUGGAUGUAGGGGCAUGCAUGAGCAGCUGCUGGAGGCCAUGUCCUCUUAAGCAAGAUGGACUGGAAUUGGAGCCACAUCCCAGCAGCUCGAGGGUGACUGUGUGGAGAGGCCAAGAGACACUGGAGACCUCAAAGGCAAAAGCUGCUGUCCAUCUCGCUGACAGACCAUAUUGAGAGGCUGUAUGAUGAAGGACUUUGCCGCUCUAACCAACGAAUCCAGAGUAGAAAACCGAAAAAUAAGGGGAAAGAUCCAAAAGUUGAAGACUCUUUUAUUGCUGUUUUCUGGCUGGUGUUUGAUUAUUUUCAAGUCAUUAUUAUGAGGAAGAAUAUGUUUGCAGAAAAAACCUUGGCACUUCAUCUGAGUUCUCACAUUUCCCUCUGUGAACUCCUCACCUCUGAUGAAGAACCAAACAGGAAUGGGAGCAGCUGCUCUGUAUGGAGGAGGGCUACAGAGCAGUCUGUGAGAUGGUUGGCAUCACCACUUGCUUGAAGGCACCAGACGUGGACAUUAAGCUCAGUGAAAAGAGACAGAAAUGCAGUGCAUCAGCAUUAGGAACAAUAAACAUAAAUCAGCACUCUUUGCUUAACAGAGAGCUGCUUCCACCAUGCUGUACAUUUUUUUCCAUGACGGGCUUAUUGAGUAGAACCAGGGAAUAACCUCACUGGACUGAGACUGCAAAGACCCAAGAUCCUGGAUAGCCUCGGACUGAGUUGCUUAAGGACGCAUUGCUUUCCAGAGACCUUGAAGAAUGGUGUGCUACCAAGGAUUUUUCAGUCCCAGGUGAGCUUCCUGAUCAUUAGCCUGUCUCUUCUGUGU